GUCUUUAUUUUAUGGACCAAGGGACUGAGAGUCUUACAGGGCAUUUUACUCGCCAAAGUCCAUUGUUUGGGCUGGGCCUGCUAAGAGAUAUCUGCACUAUUGACAAAUAGCCAAGAUGUAGGAACAGCCUAAAUGUCCAUCGACAGAUGAAUGGAUAAAGAAAAUGUGACAUACACAAACAAUGGACUAUCAUUCGGCCUUUAAAAGGAAGGAAACCCUGCAACAUGUGACAACAUGGAUGAUCCCGGAUGACGUUAUGCUGGGUGAAAUAAGCCAGGCACAGAGGGACAGAUGCUGCAGGAUUAUACUUACAGGAGGAAUAAAAACUGUCCCAUUCCUGUGGGUCCCCUCCACCUGGUGACUUAAACUCCAGGACUCCCCAUUGGCCUGGCCAAAAAUUUUUGGAAAUUGCGUGGCAGUCUGAGGCUCCUACCCAAAGCUCCUUCCUCCCCUCUCCCUUCCACAGGGUCAGCCCUGAGUCAUCCUGCCUUCCUGCCUCCUCCAGCUGCCUGGCGGCAAUCCUUCACCAGUGAAGCCCCUAGUAAAUCUCCUGUGUGUCUAAUUCCAUCUUGGCAUAUGCUUCUCAGAGGACAUCCGACCCCUUUCUAGUACUUUUUAAAGCCAGUUUGACUGGGAUUUCUGUCAGUUUCAAUGGAAU
rnacentral:lncRNA from 1 species